CUUUUCACCCAAGGGGUACAAUUUGAACAAUUUUGGUUGAGGACCAUAAGACAAUGCUACAAACCAAAUAUCAAAGGUCUAACUGUUGUGGUUUCAGACAAGAUUUUUAAACUUUAUAAGUCUAUGUAAAACUUGGGACCCCCGGGGUGGGGCCAUAUUUGAUCCUAGGGGUAUAAUUUGAAAAAUCUUGGUAGAGGACCAAUAGAUGAUGCUAAAUACCAAAUAUCAAAGCCCUAGGCCAUGUGGUUUUGGACAAGCAGAUUUUUAAAGUUUUUCCUUUCGGUUGCCAUGGCAACCAGAGUUCUGGAUGGAAUUCAAUUCUUUGAAAAAUUUUGAAAAGGGGCCACCCAAGGAUCAUUCUUGUGAAGUUUGGUGUAAUUCUGCCCAGUGGUUUUCAAGAAGAAGAUUUUUUUAGAAAUUGUUGACACAGGAUGCACGACGAACAGCAAGCAGUCACAAUAGCUCACCUUGUCACUUCGUGACAGGUGAGCUAAAAAGGGAUCUGCCAAAUAAAAACAAGAGCACUGCAAUGUAUAGCAAUAUACACAAAGCAGUCAUAUAUGACCUUGACCUUGAAGCGAGUCAUCCAAAACAUGCGCUCUGCACGUUGCCUCAGUGUGGUGAACAUUUGUGCCAAGUUUCUUUGAAAUCCUCAAGCAGUUCAAGAGUUACAGAGCGGACACAGCAAAGUCAUAUAUGACCUUUCACCCCUGUGACCUUGACCUUAAAGCUAGUCAUCCGAAACAAGCGCUCUGCAUGUCAUCUCAGUGUGGUGAACAUUUGUGCCAAGUUUUUUUGAAAUCCUUCAAGCAGUUCAAGAGUUACAGAGCGGACACGAAACACACUCAUAUGACCUUUGACCCCUAAGUGUGACCUUGACUUUGAAAUGAGACAACCAAAACAUGCACUCUGCAUGUUGUCUCGGUGUGGUGAACAUUUGUGUCAAGUUUCUUUGAAAUCCUUCAAGGGGUUCAAGAGUUAUAGAGACAUGAAAUUGCUAACGGACGGACACCGGGACCAUAAUAUAAAACGUCCCUUCGGGCGUAUAAUUAAGAAACUAGAAGAUACUUUUGUAGAAAAGCUCAUGUCUCCCCCACUGCAUAGUCGUAUAAGCAAGAAGUCAAUAGGGGACAGGAGCGAAAGUCAAAGGGACACUGACGGUUGGUUGUAAUAGGGAUCACCUACUUGGCAAGCGUGGAUCCAGCUAGUUUUCUCAGAGGGGGUCCGACCGACCCUAUACUAUGACAAACAUGUCACCCUGCGCCCCGCCUGUCUUUAUACACUUAAUAAUUCGUUUUUUUUUUUUUGUUAGCCGCUUUUUUUUUUAACAGGCUGAAACAGAAAAUUAGCCGACAAGGUAGGAGGAUCUGGGGCAUGCACCCUGGAAAAUUUUCAAAUUCAGUGCUUCAUUUCCCGCAUUCUGUCGCAUUUUAGGAACAUUUAAGAACACCUUUUCCACUGCAAUUUUAUAUACAAUAUACUCCUUUUUUCACAUUUUCCACGGCGACCUGAAUACAACGUCUAACCAACGUCAUAACCACGAAGUCUAAUAGACUUAGACGUCUAGGAGACGUUAGAAUUAGGUUGGAUAUUAAGUCUGUUUAAAUGUUUUCAGUUAUAAAAUUAACUGGUGUAAUUUUGCUAGUAUAGUUUAAAGAUAGUUAUGCCUGACAAUGCGCUUAUAAAUAAUAGUUUAUUCGCAAAUCAAACGUUAUCAUUAAUUAUGUUACAAAAUCGUACGAAAUUGUCUAUUUUCGGGAACGGGGUUUUUUUUACCAAUUUAAAACUGUUCAGGAAAAAUUGCAUUCUAUACACAUGUAUUAAUUAAUCUAAAUUCACCUAAGGAUCUUCUUCUACACAUGUUCAUUAGUCAUGCAUUCGCAAGAUAAGCCUGCAUCGGUUUACACAAGUCUUCUGGUAAUUUGAUAUUUGUGGGAUAAGAUAAAGCAAGUUUAUAAAUACUUUACACAAAGGGAUCCACAACAAGGGAAUUUUAGCGGAGUUGAAGAAUCAUGCAGAGAUGACUGAACUUGAAAGUUUCAAUUACUGGAUUACCUUUUUGGAUUUAUGAUAUUAGACUUCUGUUGCUAUCAUGUGAAAUAAAAAUGAUAAAAUA